UACGAAGGGGGCUAGCGUUGCUCGGAAUUACUGGGCGUAAAGGGAGCGUAGGCGGACAUUUAAGUCAGAGGUGAAAUCCUGGAGCUCAACUCCAGAACUGCCUUUGAUACUGAGGAUCUUGAGUUCGGGAGAGGUGAGUGGAACUGCGAGUGUAGAGGUGAAAUUCGUAGAUAUUCGCAAGAACACCAGUGGCGAAGGCGGCUCACUGGCCCGAUACUGACGCUGAGGCACGAAAGCGUGGGGAGCAAACAGG
rnacentral:rRNA from 1 species